rnacentral:rRNA from 1 species
GUGCCAGCAGCCGCGGUAAUACGGAGGGUGCGAGCGUUAAUCGGAAUUACUGGGCGUAAAGCGUGCGCAGGCGGUUUGUUAAGCGAGAUGUGAAAGCCCCGGGCUCAACCUGGGAACUGCAUUUUGAACUGGCAAACUAGAGUCUUGUAGAGGGGGGUAGAAUUCCAGGUGUAGCGGUGAAAUGCGUAGAGAUCUGGAGGAAUACCGGUGGCGAAGGCGGCCCCCUGGACAAAGACUGACGCUCAUGCACGAAAGCGUGGGGAGCAAACAGGAUUAGAUACCCUGGUAGUCC